rnacentral:rRNA from 1 species
AUUGACCGCUGGCGGCAGGCUUAACACAUGCAAGUCGAGCGAGCGGCGGACGGGUGAGUAAUGUCUGGGAAACUGCCUGAUGGAGGGGGAUAACUACUGGAAACGGUAGCUAAUCCCGCAUAACAUCAGAUGUGCCCAGAUGGGAUUAGCUAGUAGGUGGGGGAAUGGCUCACCUGGGAUACGAUCCCUAGCUGGUAUGAGAGGAUGACCAGCCACACUGGAACUGAGACACGGCCCAGUCUCCUACGGGAGGCAGCAGUGGGGAAUAUGGCACAAUGGUCGCAAGCCUGAUGCAGCCAUGCCGCUGGUGUGAAGAAGGCCUUCGGGUUGUAAAGCACUUUCAGCGAGGAGGCGUUACUCGCAGAAGAAGCACCGGCUAACUCCGUGCCAGCAGCCGCGGUAAUAC